CCUACGGUAGGCUGCAGUGAGGAAUAUUGGUCAAUGGUCGGGAGACUGAACCAGCCAAGCCGCGUGAGGGAUGAAGGUACAGAGUAUCGUAAACCUCUUUUGUCAGGGAACAAAGGCGGGGACGUGUCCCCGGAUGAGUGUACCUGAAGAAAAAGCAUCGGCUAACUCCGUGCCAGCAGCCGCGGUAAUACGGAGGAUGCGAGCGUUAUCCGGAUUUAUUGGGUUUAAAGGGUGCGCAGGCGGUCUGUUAAGUCAGCGGUAAACGCCCGGGGCUCAACCCCGGCCCGCCGUUGAAACUGGCAGUCUCGAGUUGGAGAGAAGUAGGCGGAAUGCGCGGUGUAGCGGUGAAAUGCAUAGAUAUCGCGCAGAACUCCGAUUGCGAAGGCAGCAUGCCGGCUCCACACUGACGCUGAGGCACGAAAGCGUGGGUAUCGAACAGGAUUAGAUACCCGGGUAGUC
rnacentral:rRNA from 1 species